GUAGGGGGCAAGCGUUGUCCGGAAUGAUUGGGCGUAAAGGGCGCGUAGGCGGCCUGAUAAGUUUGAAGUGAAAGUCCUUCUUUUAAGGAGGGAACUGCUUUGAAAACUGUCGGGCUUGAGUGCAGGAGAGGUAAGCGGAAUUCCCGGUGUAGCGGUGAAAUGCGUAGAGAUCGGGAGGAACACCAGUGGCGAAGGCGGCUUACUGGACUGUUACUGACGCUGAGGCGCGAAAGUGUGGGGAGCAAACAGGAUUAGAUACCCUGGUAGUCCACACUGUAAACGAUGAAUGCUAGGUGUAGGGGGUAUCGACCCCUUCUGUGCCGGAGUAAACACAAUAAGCAUUCCGCCUGGGGAGUACGGCCGCAAGGUUGAAACUCA
rnacentral:rRNA from 1 species